rnacentral:lncRNA from 1 species
AUGACACAUGGCAGUUGAUCUCUUCUUUUCGAUCGAAUUCAGCAUCAGUCAACUUGGGACUUUGAGGGUGCUAUUUUUCUUUUGUUUCUUUCUUUUGAUUUCUUUUGAUUUUGAUUGAUUUUGCACCCUCUCUUUCUUUGUUUUUUUUUUAUUGAUUUUUUUCUCUUUUUUUUUUAUUAAUGCCCCAGUUGGCUGUUCUGCUGAUU